AAUCUAUGGGAACAAAAAAAUUUAAUUUUUUGUGGGGAGGGGGAGGGGAGUAAACUGGGUGAUAAGAAUAAAGAACAAAGAUGAGGAAACUGGGGUGAAUCAGAAUAGCCCAUCGGUGCUUUGGUAUUCCAGGGAGCCUAUAAAAGGGGGUGAACUACAGCUCCAAAACGGGGAGUCGGGGAAGUGCGCAGCAGCCGCGGCAGCUCCGCGACGCUCCCUUUGGCUACUCCUUCGCGCACUCUAACUCACUCACUCUUUUUUGGAUUUCGUCAUCUUUUCAAAAAAUCAAUAAAAAUAUUCUGGAGGCUCCGGGGGUCCACUUCUUGGUCUCAUCCGGAUCCCCAGAUCCUCCUCUAUCAUUCCCGACAAUUGGAAAAAAUGUCUGGGGGGGUCCCUGCGGCCCAGGGGCCGCUAUUGGGGGGGCGGGUGGGGAGAGGUGGGGAAGAGAGGGGGAGGGAGGAGAGGAGGAAGAGCGCCGCAGCCUCGGCAGCUGGAGUCGGAGCGGGGGGGGACGGUUUCAAAAAAUAAUUAAAAAUCGAGGAAAUAUCCUAGAAAAGCCCUUUUGGCGUGAAAACCCCAAAGAGGAGCCAGGCUUCCCGAAAGGGAGGUUUCGGGUGCCAGAAAGGUGCCCCGGCAGCUCCAGGUCUCACGGAACCUGUUACGAUGGCAGCCUCUAUGCUUCACUGCUGGGGAUUGCUUCUGCUUUGAAAUAGCCACAUGGAAGAAAAACUACAAAGUUUUGAGGGGAAAAAAACCCACCUAACGUUAGCUGCCGACGUGUCUUCAUCUGUAAAAACCUUCUUCGUGUCUCAUGGAUUUCAACAUGCAGUUUCUCUUGGGUUUGUUCCAUAAAACGUCAGAUGCAACUUUAAUGGCCUGACCCCAAAAAAGAUAACUUCACAGCCAUCAAACAGCCAGCAGCGUUCCACAUACCCUCUUGCUGGAGCCAGCCUUCUACGGGGCCGUGUGGAUGUCAGGCACACACAAUGUGAGUCACGCUGACAUAGCUGGGAUGCCUGGAUUGCGCUGGAAUCUGGGGGGUACCAAUCACAGGCCAGAGAGAAGCCAUUGGCUGGAAGGAACAAUGCCAGAAUGUUCACCAUCUCUGCAGAAGGAGGGGGUGUUGGUGGUGAAGGGAAUGACAGUGGCAGCCAGAGGAGGAAAAUGACCCCAAAGCAGGGUGGGCACGUCUCAGUGAUGCUGGGCAGAAGCAUUCCAGGGGCUCAGGUCAUGACCACACCCCUCUUCUCCUGCCCCACCACCAGAAAAAUUAAGAAGGUACAAGAUUUUCCCUACAACUGAAUACACGGAAUGCCCUGCUGUCUUCAAGUUUUUGGGAAACCCAGAGUUGACACCAACAGCCCAAAUGGAUGAAGCACUUACCUCUACCAGACACUGUCUGUAUCUUACAAAUAAUUCAUUUAAUUCUCACAGCUCCUUCAUGAGAGAAUCUUCCAUAAAACUGGCAGACUCCUCCUGAUCUCCACCCGUGCCGUCUGCCUCUCUAGUUCCGGACACAGAGCUGGUGCCCUGCGGCCAUCUCAAGCAGGAACCCUGCAAGGUCACCAGGAAGACUGCGUGCCUCGCUCUAGCCUCCUCCUAAGGGAAAGCAGACUCCUGUUUUUGAGAGAAAUUACCUGAUUUCGAGAGAAACAUAAAGGACUUCUUUUCUCCUUAAGGUAACAUUCCACUUGUAAAAAUGAAGUUUGGAAGAAUUUCUGCAAACUCAGUGUUUUGGUCAGUUGAUCUUUUACUGUACCAGGUGAAUCUGAGGCCACAAAUACACUGGGGAGGAAGAUAUGCCCUUCACAAGGGAUUUGCACUUAGCCAGACACUCUGUUGCUGUGCUUCUUUAAAUAAAGAACAUUUCUGUA